AAGGUGAAACCGCGAAAGGCUCAUUAAAUCAGUUAUGGUUCCUUAGAUCGUACCCACAAUUACUUGGAUAACUGUGGUAAUUCUAGAGCUAAUACAUGCAAACAGAGCUCCGACCGGAGACGGAAGGAGUGCUUUUAUUAGAUCAAAACCAAUCGGUGGCGGGUUCGCCCGUUAUCGUACAACUUGGUGACUCUGAAUAACUUUACGCUGAUCGCACGGUCAUCGCACCGGCGACGCAUCUUUCAAAUGUCUGCCUUAUCAACUGUCGAUGGUAGGUUCUGCGCCUACCAUGGUUGUAACGGGUAACGGGGAAUCAGGGUUCGAUUCCGGAGAGGGAGCCUGAGAAACGGCUACCACAUCCAAGGAAGGCAGCAGGCGCGCAAAUUACCCACUCCCGGCACGGGGAGGUAGUGACGAAAAAUAACGAUACGGGACUCAUCCGAGGCCCCGUAAUCGGAAUGAGUACACUCUAAACCCUUUAACGAGGAUCACUUGGAGGGCAA
rnacentral:rRNA from 1 species